GACGAACCGUGCGAACGUUAUUCGGAUUCACUGGGCUUAAAGGGCGCGUAGGCGGCGGCACAAGUCGGGGGGUGAAAUCGUUCGGCUCAACCGGACAAGGGCUUCCGAUACUGUGUCGCUGGAGGGAGAUAGGGGUGCGCGGAACUUCCGGUGGAGCGGUGAAAUGCGUAGAUAUCGGAAGGAACGCCGGUGGCGAAAGCGGCGCACUGGAUCUCUACUGACGCUGAGGCGCGAAAGCCAGGGGAGCGAACGGG
rnacentral:rRNA from 1 species